GACUGAUCAGAUUAUCGAAGAUGAACAAGAAGAAACAACAAGUGAUGCAGAAAGGGCUCGGAGAAGCUGUCUGUGAAUACGCAAAGGGUAACUACAAAAACAGGCUCUAGAACUACUUGGUUCAGAUUUUAACGCCUUUGGUUACAAGGUCAUUGGGGCAUCAGAUGAACAGAUUGAUGUUUUCAACGAAAUGU